rnacentral:misc_RNA from 1 species
GAAAUGCGAUAAGUAGUGUGAAUUGCAGAAUUUAGUAAAUCAUUGAAUCUUUGAACGCAUAUUGCGCCCUUUGGUAUUCCUUAGGGUAUGCCUGUUUGAGCGUUAUCUAAACCUUUAAGUACUGCUUGGUGUUGGGUGCCUAUCCUGCCCCCGCGCGUGGACUUACCUUAAAUCUAUUGGCGGCUCUUACGUUGGCUUUGAGCGCAGCAGAAACGCGAACUUGACGCCUGUUGGAGCGGCUCCUAGAAGCUACAUUUCACUAUUUUGACCUUGGAUUAGGUAGGGAUACCCGCUGAACUUAA